UUUUGAGGGUAAAAUCAUACCUGUAGAGCAAACGCUGCGGACACAGCAGCAGUUUUAAAAAAGAUUUUAAGAUUAAUUUUUUUGCUCCUCUCACUCUAGCAGUUGAGCUGCCUCACUCUAGCCCCAACAUUCCGUCCCAUACACACCCAUUAUAAACUCUGAAACGGGUGAAAAAACAUCAUGAAACUUAAACUGGAACUGAAGAAAAAGUAUAAUAGAUAUUGAAAAGAUAAAUACAAGUUGAAUAGUUGAAUGUCUUGUCUUCGUUUUAAAGUUUGAAUGGUGGCUCUAUGUCAAUGUAUGUGGAAGUAGAUACAGUUUAAAGAGGAGGAAGUUGAAUGAGAAUUUGAAGGGUCUCCCCAUUGAAAUACAUGGGAAAUUUUUGUUGAAAAAAGUUGAAUAAAAUUAAAAAUAUAAAUGUUAAAAAUGAGAAAAAUAGAAGCAGUCAUGUCCAAAAGAAUAGGAAUCUAAUGGUGUUUGAAUGGUUUUUCUAAGUUGAACGGUUUUGAAGGAGAUAGAGUACAAAAAACGUACGGAAUCCAUAAUAAUAAAAUAGAACUAGAAAGUGCAUUUUCUGAAGAAACUGCAGUGUGAAUGCUUGAAUCUGAAUGUAUGCACUGAAAUGAAUUAAUUGCUGAAUUUUGAGUUAAAAAUAUUGAAUGAGAUUAAAAAAAAACAAAAAAAAAACGAAUUUAACCUGAAAACAAAGGUGCUGAACUGCUAAAAGCUGAAGGUUACACAGAAGAAGAAGUUGGAAAAAAGCUGAAAAUGUUUUAAUUGUAAAUUAGAAAAACCUAAGAAAUGAGAAAAGAACAUUUAGAGUCAGAAAACAUCUGAAAGAAUAUUAAAAGGUCAUAUUCUUUGAAUCACUGAAUGACUAAAAUGUGAUCCCUCCACUUGGACCCACACAGUUUAAAAAGUUUACAUCUCUGAGCUUUGAAAGACAAGAUGUUGGAAAAAGAACAACGAUGGCGACGUUUUGAGGGUAAAAUGAUGGCUGUGACACUGUGGACACAGCAGCAGUUGAAAGAGAAGUGUUUAAGAUUAAUUUUGGCAGAGUGGCAGAGAGAGCUCGUUAAGCAGGCAGGUGUGAGCCUGGUUGCUAUAGUGACCGCACCCAAUGGCUCCAUACACACGGACACAGACAUGCACCUCACUUUUGCUGCUUAAAAUGAACAGAAAAGUCAGGCCGAAACAAAUCGUUCCCAAAUGAAAAGUAAAAGUCGUAUUGACAAAA
ensembl:lncRNA